rnacentral:rRNA from 1 species
UUCGCCCUUAGAGUUUGAUCCUGGCUCAGAGCGAACGCUGGCGGCAGGCUUAACACAUGCAAGUCUAACGGGCUUCUUCGGAAGUCAGUGGCAGACGGGUGAGUAACACGUGGGAACGUGCCCUUCGGUUCGGAAUAACUCAGGGAAACUUGAGCUAAUACCGGAUACGCCCUUAUGGGGAAAGGUUUACUGCCGAAGGAUCGGCCCGCGUCUGAUUAGCUUGUUGGUGGGGUAACGGCCUACCAAGGCGACGAUCAGUAGCUGGUCUGAGAGGAUGAUCAGCCACACUGGGACUGAGACACGGCCCAGACUCCUACGGGAGGCAGCAGAAGGG